rnacentral:rRNA from 1 species
GACGAACGCUGGCGGCGUGCCUAACACAUGCAAGUCGAACGGUCCGGCACUCAACCGACCCUCAGUCUAGCUGUAGGUGAGGUUAAGUGCCGGAUAGUGGCGGACGGGUGAGUAACGCGUGGGCAACCAACCCUGUACAGUGGGAUAACACCGGGAAACCGGUGCUAAUACCGCAUGACACCUAGAUGGUGCAUACUGUUUAGGUUAAAGGGCAAAACCGGUACGGGACGGGCCCGCGUCCCAUUAGCUGGUUGGUGAGGUAACGGCUCACCAAGGCGACGAUGGGUAGCCGACCUGAGAGGGUGACCGGCCACACUGGGACUGAGACACGGCCCAGACUCCUACGGGAGGCAGCAGUGGGGAAUAUUGCGCAAUGGGGGAAACCCUGACGCAGCGACGCCGCGUGAGCGAAGAAGGCCUUAGGGUUGUAAAGCUCUGUUCUAUGGGACGAAGUCCUUGACUGUAAAUAAUGGUCAAGGUUGACGGUACCAUAGGAGGAAGCCCCGGCUAACUACGUGCCAGCAGCCGAAC